UACGAAGGGGGCUAGCGUUGCUCGGAAUCACUGGGCGUAAAGGGUGCGUAGGCGGGUCUUUAAGUCAGGGGUGAAAUCCUGGAGCUCAACUCCAGAACUGCCUUUGAUACUGAGGAUCUUGAGUUCGGGAGAGGUGAGUGGAACUGCGAGUGUAGGAGGUGAAAUUCGUAGAGAUCCGGAAGAACACCGGUGGCGAAGGCGGUGAGCUGGGCAGUUGCUGACACUGAGGCGCGACAGCGUGGGGAGCAAACAGGG
rnacentral:rRNA from 1 species